AACGAGACCUUAACCUGCUAAAGAGCCCGUAUUGGUUUGGCAGGACGCUUGCUGGGGGGGGGGAGUGGCGGGGGGGGCGGGUGGAGGGGGGGGUGCAUGGCGGGUCUGUGGUGUGGUGAUGUGUUCUGGGCGUCACGCGCGCUACACUGACGGAGCCAGCGAGUUCUCCCUUGACCGGAAGGUCCGGGUAAUCUUGUGAAACUC
rnacentral:rRNA from 1 species